UUUCGCUUUGUCCAUAGGAGAUAGAUUGAGGCUUGCCAAGCCAAUAGCACCAGAAGUCGUUCAUGUUUCGGCGAACGAAUCGCUUGCAUGCAGCCAAAUUCUGUAGACCAGUUCCGAGAGGGGUUCCAUUGGACCUUGCGAGAUAGCUCUUUCCAGAAGCUCCAAGAGUAGGGACAUUCAUAGUACAGGGCAUCUGUCGAGGACAGUGAGCCGAGUGACGAAAUUGUGGCGAGGAAUACCGCGGGAAGACCAUACUGCUGAAUACCAAGGGACAGGUGGUUGAUGGUCUUUGAUUAGUUCAUAGAUCAUUCCUGUUGAGUAGGUGGGCAGAGGCCUUCCAUUUGGAGACCACUCAUAGACAUCGCAGGCUUCCGUCAAAGUGAUGGAAGAUAGUAUCAUGUUAAAAAAUGUUGUAAGCAUUUUCUACUAAUAUGUCGAAACUUAUUUCUAAAAUAUAGAUCUAACUUUUUUAA